CCCUUAGAUGUCCUGGGCCGCACGCGCGCUACACUGAUGCAUGCAACGAGUUUAUAACCUUGGCCUGAAAGGUCUGGGUAAUCUUUUGAACGUGCAUCGUGAUAGGGAUAGAUUAUUGCAAUUGUUAAUCUUGAACGAGGAAUUCCUAGUAAGCGCAAGUCAUCAGCUUGCGUUGAUUACGUCCCUGCCCUUUGUACACACCGCCCGUCGCUACUACCGAUUGAAUGGUUUAGUGAGAUCCUUGGAUCGGCCCUGUCGCGGCUGGCAACGGCCGCGUCGGCGCGUCGAGAAGACGAUCAAACUUGAUCAUUUAGAGGAAGUAAAAGUCGUAACA
rnacentral:rRNA from 1 species